GCUACUCAAAUCUUACAACCUCCACGUGGUGAGUAGCGGGUAAUGCUAAUAGUAAGAUAAAAUAUAUUG
rnacentral:ribozyme from 1 species